rnacentral:rRNA from 1 species
UACGUAGGGUGCGAGCGUUGUCCGGAAUUAUUGGGCGUAAAGAGCUCGUAGGCGGCUUGUCGCGUCGAAUGUGAAAACCCACGGCUCAACUGUGGGCGUGCGGGCGAUACGGGCAGACUUGAGUACUGCAGGGGAGACUGGAAUUCCUGGUGUAGCGGUGGAAUGCGCAGAUAUCAGGAGGAACACCGGUGGCGAAGGCGGGUCUCUGGGCAGUAACUGACGCUGAGGAGCGAAAGCGUGGGGAGCGAACAGG